GACCAGAUAGCACAGUGGUUAGUGCGCGGAUGUUCGAUCAGCAGUAUUCGAUCCGCUACCCUCGUUCGACUCGGGGUCUGGCCU